GANGNGAGUCUGACCGAGCACGCCGCGUGAGUGAAGAAGGUUUUCGGAUCGUAAAACUCUGUUGUUAGAGAAGAAUGUUGAUUAGAGUGGAAAAUUAAUCAAGUGACGGUAUCUAACCAGAAAGGGACGGCUAACUACGUGCCAGCAGCCGCGGUAAUACGUAGGUCCCGAGCGUUGUCCGGAUUUAUUGGGCGUAAAGCGAGCGCAGGUGGUUUAAUAAGUCUGAUGUAAAAGGCAGUGGCUCAACCAUUGUGUGCAUUGGAAACUGUUAGACUUGAGUGCAGUAGAGGAGAGUGGAAUUCCAUGUGUAGCGGUGAAAUGCGUAGAUAUAUGGAGGAACACCGGUGGCGAAAGCGGCUCUCUGGACUGUCACUGACACUGAGGCUCGAAAGCGUGGGUAGCAAACAGGAUUAGAUACCCUGGUAGUCCACGCCGUAAACGAUGAGUGCUAGUUGUUUGGGGCUAUCCAGCCCUAAGUGACGCAGCAAACGCAUUAAGCACUCCGCCUGGGGAGUACGACCGCAAGGUUGAAACUCAAAGGAAUUGACGGGGGCCCGCACAAGCGGUGGAGCAUGUGGUUUAAUUCGAAGCAACGCGAAGAACCUUACCAGGUCUUGACAUACUCGUGCUAUUCCUAGAGAUAGGAAGUUCCUUCGGGACACGGGAUACAGGUGGUGCAUGGUUGUCGUCAGCUCGUGUCGUGAGAUGUUGGGUUAAGUCCCGCAACGAGCGCAACCCUUAUUGUUAGUUGCCAUCAUUAAGUUGGGCACUCUAGCGAGACUGCCGGUAAUAAACCGGAGGAAGGUGGGGAUGACGUCAAAUCAUCAUGCCCCUUAUGACCUGGGCUACACACGUGCUACAAUGGUUGGUACAACGAGUCGCAAGACAGUGAUGUCAAGCUANUCUCUUAAAGCCNAU
rnacentral:rRNA from 1 species